GACAGAGGAUGCAAGCGUUAUCCGGAAUGAUUGGGCGUAAAGCGUCUGUAGGUGGCUUUUUAAGUCCGCCGUCAAAUCCCAGGGCUCAACCCUGGACAGGCGGUGGAAACUACCAAGCUGGAGUACGGUAGGGGCAGAGGGAAUUUCCGGUGGAGCGGUGAAAUGCGUAGAGAUCGGAAAGAACACCAACGGCGAAAGCACUCCGCUGGGCUGAUACUGACACUGACAGACGAAAAGCUAGGGUAGCGAAAGGG
rnacentral:rRNA from 1 species